UACAGAGGUCUCAAGCGUUGUUCGGAUUCAUUGGGCGUAAAGGGUGCGUAGGUGGCCAACUAAGUCAAACGUGAAAUCCCUCGGCUUAACCGGGGAACUGCGUCUGAUACUGGAUGGCUUGAGUUUGGGAGAGGGAUGCGGAAUUCCAGGUGUAGCGGUGAAAUGCGUAGAUAUCUGGAGGAACACCGGUGGCGAAGGCGGCAUCCUGGACCAACACUGACACUGAGGAGCGAAAGCCAGGGGAGCAAACGGG
rnacentral:rRNA from 1 species